UGUGGUGUGAGGAAAAAAGUAGAGAAGUGCUUGGGGUCGAAACACGGAAAGACUCCCAGGCACUUUUCUCAUUU
rnacentral:sRNA from 17 species